rnacentral:misc_RNA from 1 species
CCUCCAAAAUCAAAACUGUCAUGAGAGGCAACAAAACGCAACCUUUCUGCACAAUUACUAAGAAAAACAAAUAAUACAAAGUAAAUUUGACAAGGCACAAAAUCAUCAUAUGGGCAAAGCCCAUAUCACAACUAAAUGCUGUAGAAUUUAUAGAUCUUGUUAUCAUCUCGUGUUCAAUUCCACAACUGUGAGCUUGGUUCCUUAACUGAAACUCAACAUGAAAUCCCUUACUAGCCCAAUAAUAAUGUCCAUGCAAAACUAUAUCCACAAGUGCUCCCUCCGAUACUCCCGCACAAUAACAGGGACACUUGUUGGUGGGAUCAUGCCAUAAUCGGUGACAAUCAUAGAGAUAUAUUCUAAAGGAGUGGCAUCAUACAUCAAAUUUAAAAGCUGAAGAUUUUCUUUAUUAGCCAGAUUAUCCACGUAAUUUACAUCCAUUCUUCCAGAAGCCUUUGCAAUGGCAUCUGGAUCACCUAGUUCAUUGGAGCAUAUUGAAUCCAGUUGAACCCUUUCAUGAAACUUAUAUGCUUCACAGCAUAUUAACACUGGAACACGGAAUGCAUGAGCAACCAUAGCAACACAUGCAGUUCCAACCCUCGAAUAAACAGUUCCAUUGGACAAUACUGAGGAAGCCCCAAGAAAUACUCUAGUGACUUCAUGCAUGAUAUAAGAAACUGCAUUUAUGUGAGUAUAUGUACAAUUCAGGCCCUUUGCCACCAGCCUACGAAGUAAAGCUUGGCCUUCAAGUUUAGGGCGUGAGUCCACUAUCACAACCCUGAACUGUUUCCCAAGCUCAUGGGCAUAUAACAGAAUCAUCUCAACAACACAUGAUGAUCCAUACGUAAGAAGAACAUCCCCGUCCCUGACUUUUGAAGCAGCAUGUCUAACUAUCACCUUGUCAGCAAGUACUAUCUUCUCAUUUAUGAAACGAUUGAUAUCUGAACAAAGGGAUUCUUUUGCUUCUGAUUCAGAAAGACUUAAAGGCAGCUUUGCAAUACGAUUCUUCAAAAACCUAAUUGCAUUUCCCAUACUCAUAGAAAGUGGUCGGCAUUCAAUCAAAAAGGAAACAUAACUACCAACUUUUGCCGUUAAAUCCCUGGUAAGAGAUUUUUCUGGUGGUGUGGAGUAGUCUUUAAUGACUUCCUGAAAUGCCUGUAGCAUUGCAAUACAACGAGCAUUACCUCCAGAGAUAUCUCCCGCCAAAUACUGUAAUCCAACCUUGUAAACAGCAGGAUGCAUUGGAUCAAGUAGGAAAAAUUUUGACUCAAGAUCAGGAAGCUGGCUUCCACGCUCAUACUGAGGCAAGUGUCGGAACAACUCAACCCUAUUCCUAGCUUCAGUUUGAUUGACCACUGCACGCUUUUUAGCCUUUUCCACUCGAUUUUUAUCAUCAAAUUGCAUGCGUGGAGGAGGGACUUCUUUCUUCCUCUCUUUCUCUGGUGUACGAUCUACUCCUUUCCUGUCAGAAGCUGCAACUGAUGUUGCAGCAGGAAGAGCAUCUUUCUUUCGUGAUGGUUGCUGCUUCACAGGUUUACUGGUCGCUGCUCCCUCAGAUGAGAUAGCAGGUUUACCGGUGGCUUCUCCUUUUGCAGCAGCUUUGGCAGCUCGUUGGGAUUCCUGCAAGGCACGUCUUUCAGCCUUUGUUGUUUUAGCUUUCAAUGGCUUUGAACUUGAUUGUGAUUCAGUUUGCAGCUCUGCACCAGCCACUCCACUUUUUUCAGGUACUUCAACAGGCUUUUUCACUUCAACUUCCAAAGUCUCCGAUGACUUUAUCGACGUCAAAUCGAAUCCACCACCAGGGAAACUCGAGGCGAACUUAGCAGAGUUGCUCCUGCGAAACCAACCAGGAGACGAUUCCUCCGAAAAUUCUCCAUCGCCGAUCCUACUUGAAGGCGAGGUCAGCGGCGGCGACGCUCCAAGCAUCGAAUCGGUAGGGUUGUAGCUGCCCACCACCGCCACACGGUCGCCGCCGGGGAUAGGUCGGCGGAAGGCCGAUGUCUCUGGGACAGGGAGUGGCGAAGUGGCGCGAUGAGCAAGGUUAUCAGAGAGGUGACGUGGCGGGGGGAUCAUAACUGGAGAUAAGGAGUUGCCCGCAGGAGAAUUGGAAAGCGGCGGCGAGUUAGAGUCAGGCGGCCCAGACUGAGUCCGAGCAGGCGGCGGUGGCUCAUUGGGAGUGAAGAAUCCGACCUGGCGAACCUUGGGAACGGCACGCCAACCUCUACGAGCUUCCAUGGAGCGUGAAUAUGAAUCACCAAAGCUUCAGUUGUUGUCGUUAUUGAUAAUACUGAUAACAGGAGAGGAGUCGAUAAGAGGCCAUUGAAAUGAAAACUAGAGCUUCAUGGUUAUGGAAUUGUAUUGAAUUUGGCAAACAAACGCAUCGUUUUGGGAGGCAAAACGAUUAGGGUUUUGUAGAAAGUUGGCCAAAAUAGAAAGGUGAAGAAUCAACGAGUUAGGCUUACGAUUCUAUCUGUGUCAAAGCACGCA